rnacentral:rRNA from 1 species
GAUGAACGCUAGCGGCAGGCCUAAUACAUGCAAGUCGAGGGGCAGCACAGGUAGCAAUACUGGGUGGCGACCGGCAAACGGGUGCGGAACACGUACGUAACCUUCCUUUAAGUGAGAGAUAGCCCGAAGAAAUUCGGAUUAAUACCCCAUAAGAUUGUGGAGUGGCAUCACUCAGCAAUUAAAGGACUUCGCUUAAAGAU